rnacentral:rRNA from 1 species
GACGAACGCUGGCGGCGUGCCUAAUACAUGCAAGUAGAACGCUGAAGGAAGGAGCUUGCUCUUUCUGGAUGAGUUGCGAACGGGUGAGUAACGCGUAGGUAACCUGCCUGGUAGCGGGGGAUAACUAUUGGAAACGAUAGCUAAUACCGCAUAAAAUUGAUUAUUGCAUGAUAGUCAAUUAAAAGGUGCAACUGCACCACUACCAGAUGGACCUGCGUUGUAUUAGCUAGUUGGUGGGGUAACGGCUCACCAAGGCGACGAUACAUAGCCGACCUGAGAGGGUGAUCGGCCACACUGGGACUGAGACACGGCCCAGACUCCUACGGGAGGCAGCAGUAGGGAAUCUUCGGCAAUGGACGGAAGUCUGACCGGGCAACGCCGCGUGAGUGAAGAAGGUUUUCGGAUCGUAAAGCUCUGUUGUAAGAGAAGAACGAGUGUGAGAGUGGAAAGUUCACACUGUGACGGUAUCUUACCAGAAAGGGACGGCUAACUACGUG